rnacentral:tRNA from 1 species
CAGGAUGUUCUGCAGCAAGGACGCACAGCGAGCAGAGCGAACGCUUCUGCCUCGGGAGCAGGGGGUCGCAAGUUCAAAUCUUGUCAUCCCGACCA